rnacentral:rRNA from 1 species
UACGAAGGGGGCUAGCGUUGCUCGGAAUCACUGGGCGUAAAGCGCACGUAGGCGGCUUUCUAAGUCGGUGGUGAAAUCCUGGAGCUCAACUCCAGAACUGCCUUUGAUACUGGCGAUCUCGAGUCCGGGAGAGGUGAGUGGAACUGCGAGUGUAGAGGUGAAAUUCGUAGAUAUUCGCAAGAACACCAGUGGCGAAGGCGGCUCACUGGCCCGGUACUGACGCUGAGGUGCGAAAGCGUGGGGAGCAAACAGG